rnacentral:rRNA from 1 species
GGUUAAGCGACUAAGCGUACACGGUGGAUGCCCUGGCAGUCAGAGGCGAUGAAGGACGUGCUAAUCUGCGAUAAGCGUCGGUAAGGUGAUAUGAACCGUUAUAACCGGCGAUUUCCGAAUGGGGAAACCCAGUGUGUUUCGACACACUAUCAUUAACUGAAUCCAUAGGUUAAUGAGGCGAACCGGGGGAACUGAAACAUCUAAGUACCCCGAGGAAAAGAAAUCAACCGAGAUUCCCCCAGUAGCGGCGAGCGAACGGGGAGGAGCCCAGAGCCUGAAUCAGUGUGUGUGUUAGUGGAAGCGUCUGGAAAGGCGCGCGAUACAGGGUGACAGCCCCGUACACAAAAAUGCACAUGCUGUGAGCUCGAUGAGUAGGGCGGGACACGUGGUAUCCUGUCUGAAUAUGGGGGGACCAUCCUCCAAGGCUAAAUACUCCUGACUGACCGAUAGUGAACCAGUACCGUGAGGGAAAGGCGAAAAGAACCCCGGCGAGGGGAGUGAAAAAGAACCUGAAACCGUGUACGUACAAGCAGUGGGAGCACGCUUAGGCGUGUGACUGCGUACCUUUUGUAUAAUGGGUCAGCGACUUAUAUUCUGUAGCAAGGUUAACCGAAUAGGGGAGCCGAAGGGAAACCGAGUCUUAACUGGGCGUUAAGUUGCAGGGUAUAGACCCGAAACCCGGUGAUCUAGCCAUGGGCAGGUUGAAGGUUGGGUAACACUAACUGGAGGACCGAACCGACUAAUGUUGAAAAAUUAGCGGAUGACUUGUGGCUGGGGGUGAAAGGCCAAUCAAACCGGGAGAUAGCUGGUUCUCCCCGAAAGCUAUUUAGGUAGCGCCUCGUGAAUUCAUCUCCGGGGGUAGAGCACUGUUUCGGCAAGGGGGUCAUCCCGACUUACCAACCCGAUGCAAACUGCGAAUACCGGAGAAUGUUAUCACGGGAGACACACGGCGGGUGCUAACGUCCGUCGUGAAGAGGGAAACAACCCAGACCGCCAGCUAAGGUCCCAAAGUCAUGGUUAAGUGGGAAACGAUGUGGGAAGGCCCAGACAGCCAGGAUGUUGGCUUAGAAGCAGCCAUCAUUUAAAGAAAGCGUAAUAGCUCACUGGUCGAGUCGGCCUGCGCGGAAGAUGUAACGGGGCUAAACCAUGCACCGAAGCUGCGGCAGCGACGCUUAUGCGUUGUUGGGUAGGGGAGCGUUCUGUAAGCCUGCGAAGGUGUGCUGUGAGGCAUGCUGGAGGUAUCAGAAGUGCGAAUGCUGACAUAAGUAACGAUAAAGCGGGUGAAAAGCCCGCUCGCCGGAAGACCAAGGGUUCCUGUCCAACGUUAAUCGGGGCAGGGUGAGUCGACCCCUAAGGCGAGGCCGAAAGGCGUAGUCGAUGGGAAACAGGUUAAUAUUCCUGUACUUGGUGUUACUGCGAAGGGGGGACGGAGAAGGCUAUGUUGGCCGGGCGACGGUUGUCCCGGUUUAAGCGUGUAGGCUGGUUUUCCAGGCAAAUCCGGAAAAUCAAGGCUGAGGCGUGAUGACGAGGCACUACGGUGCUGAAGCAACAAAUGCCCUGCUUCCAGGAAAAGCCUCUAAGCAUCAGGUAACAUCAAAUCGUACCCCAAACCGACACAGGUGGUCAGGUAGAGAAUACCAAGGCGCUUGAGAGAACUCGGGUGAAGGAACUAGGCAAAAUGGUGCCGUAACUUCGGGAGAAGGCACGCUGAUAUGUAGGUGAGGUCCCUCGCGGAUGGAGCUGAAAUCAGUCGAAGAUACCAGCUGGCUGCAACUGUUUAUUAAAAACACAGCACUGUGCAAACACGAAAGUGGACGUAUACGGUGUGACGCCUGCCCGGUGCCGGAAGGUUAAUUGAUGGGGUUAGCGCAAGCGAAGCUCUUGAUCGAAGCCCCGGUAAACGGCGGCCGUAACUAUAACGGUCCUAAGGUAGCGAAAUUCCUUGUCGGGUAAGUUCCGACCUGCACGAAUGGCGUAAUGAUGGCCAGGCUGUCUCCACCCGAGACUCAGUGAAAUUGAACUCGCUGUGAAGAUGCAGUGUACCCGCGGCAAGACGGAAAGACCCCGUGAACCUUUACUAUAGCUUGACACUGAACAUUGAGCCUUGAUGUGUAGGAUAGGUGGGAGGCUUUGAAGUGUGGACGCCAGUCUGCAUGGAGCCGACCUUGAAAUACCACCCUUUAAUGUUUGAUGUUCUAACGUUGACCCGUAAUCCGGGUUGCGGACAGUGUCUGGUGGGUAGUUUGACUGGGGCGGUCUCCUCCUAAAGAGUAACGGAGGAGCACGAAGGUUGGCUAAUCCUGGUCGGACAUCAGGAGGUUAGUGCAAUGGCAUAAGCCAGCUUGACUGCGAGCGUGACGGCGCGAGCAGGUGCGAAAGCAGGUCAUAGUGAUCCGGUGGUUCUGAAUGGAAGGGCCAUCGCUCAACGGAUAAAAGGUACUCCGGGGAUAACAGGCUGAUACCGCCCAAGAGUUCAUAUCGACGGCGGUGUUUGGCACCUCGAUGUCGGCUCAUCACAUCCUGGGGCUGAAGUAGGUCCCAAGGGUAUGGCUGUUCGCCAUUUAAAGUGGUACGCGAGCUGGGUUUAGAACGUCGUGAGACAGUUCGGUCCCUAUCUGCCGUGGGCGCUGGAGAACUGAGGGGGGCUGCUCCUAGUACGAGAGGACCGGAGUGGACGCAUCACUGGUGUUCGGGUUGUCAUGCCAAUGGCACUGCCCGGUAGCUAAAUGCGGAAGAGAUAAGUGCUGAAAGCAUCUAAGCACGAAACUUGCCCCGAGAUGAGUUCUCCCUGACCCUUUAAGGGUCCUGAAGGAACGUUGAAGACGACGACGUUGAUAGGCCGGGUGUGUAAGCGCAGCGAUGCGUUGAGCUAACCGGUACUAAUGAACCGUGAGGCUUAACCUU